GUGCCUCCGCCACCCUCUCCCACAAAAAAAAGAAGGAACAGGAGCAGCACUCUCUCCGAACAGCCUUCCAUGGAGCUCAAAACAGCCUGAACCAAGCAGCGCUUUUGUCUUCCCCCUUUGAGGCCCCUAUUUACAAUACAGCCGGGCAGGAACAGAGAGAGAUGGGAGUGUCCGAGCCUAGGCAGUGGACCCUCCUUUGCCGGCCCUCUUCGCUCUGGUCACCAGCAGCAGCUCUUGUGUUGCACUCUCUGAGGGGCUUGCCUGGCCUGCCCCCUAUUGCGCUGAUACCGUAACAAUAGACUGGUGUCCAUUCACAGCCACACCGAUCGGCCAUUGCUGGACCUAAAGCGUCCACAGAGAACAUCUCAGUGCUGACGCUUCCAGGGUAGGCCUCUGAGAGAGGACGGACUUCUUCAUUUGGAGCAUAGGACAAUGCAGCACACCGCUUUUGUCCCUUUGAUAUCCCGCUGGGCCACAAUAUGGCCAGUCAAGGAUCAAUGAGAGCACACAAUAGCCAUUACCCCACAGUUUCUGCAGGCUUUUAGGGAAGACGUGGGGCGGACAGCUUCCAGACGGCAUGGUGUCUGGGCCACACUGAGUGAAGAAGGAAGAAGGCAAAGGAAAGGCAGAGAGGAUAGAAAAAUAGAGGCCGUAGUGGAGGGGAGCAGUCACGAAAAGGACAGAUGGCCAUCCGUGCCAUACAUAUCAUCACGCACUGAGAGUCUCUUUGGUCCCCGUUUGACAGGAUGUGAUUUCUCAGUUCAGUCAAAGCCCAUGAGAGGCCCAGGCCCCGUCUUUUGUGUAAGCGAUGAGUGCAUGAAUGAAGAAAGUGGCAGGGAGAAAUAAAAGGGAGGCUGCCAAAAGGUGAACUCCAUGCAAAGAGACAGCAUGGAGGUGGUAGUGGAAUUAGCACUAUACACUUUCAGGCGUGCUGCAAAGGUUGGACACUGGCCUGUGGGCAAGAUGUGGACUCCGGAUCCCUGAAUGUGGACACUGAGGUUAUAAAGAUGGCAUGCAUGCCGAAACACCACCGCUCGCUGUGAAUGGAGGACAGCGGCAGGAGAUCUUUCUCCUCGAACCUUCCACCAUCUGCCAGCAUCUGCGUUCAUCAGUGUGCUAACUCAACAGUGUGCUAACAUGCAUUUUCAUAAGUGGGUUUUUCAUUUGGAUGUUUUGGUGCAAAAUUUGAAUAAAAAAAAAAAUUGAUGAAACUUCAAAAAAAGGAAAAAGUCCUGUAUAAUAAAUUGAUAGAUAAAUAAAUAAUUGUGAUGUGAAGUUGAAAAGAUCACAAAGAGUAAACAGAUUUUUUUCAUAACAACAAAUGUGGGUUCAAAUCAGUGUAUGAUUCACAUUUAAUUUUUUUUAUAUCCAGUUUAUUCAAUUCACAUCUUGGGUAUAGCCACCAUAUAACUAGUAUCUAAAGCUUACAAUAAGCCUACACACACCCACAUGAAAACAAAUAAAAGACAAAGCAGUGUUAAUACAUCUUAUUAUGAACAGUAUAAUAGCUGUGUGUGUGUGUGAGAUGCUAAA